CGUUAUAACCGGCGAUUUCCGAAUGGGGAAACCCAGUGUGUUUCGACACACUAUCAUUAACUGAAUCCAUAGGUUAAUGAGGCGAACCGGGGGAACUGAAACAUCUAAGUACCCCGAGGAAAAGAAAUCAACCGAGAUUCCCCCAGUAGCGGCGAGCGAACGGGGAGCAGCCCAGAGCCUGAAUCAGUGUGUGUGUUAGUGGAAGCGUCUGGAAAGGCGCGCGAUACAGGGUGACAGCCCCGUACACAAAAAUGCACAUGCUGUGAGCUCGAUGAGUAGGGCGGGACACGUGGUAUCCUGUCUGAAUAUGGGGGGACCAUCC
rnacentral:rRNA from 1 species